rnacentral:rRNA from 1 species
UACGUAGGGUGCGAGCGUUAAUCGGAAUUACUGGGCGUAAAGCGUGCGCAGGCGGUUUGUAAGCCAGAUGUGAAAUCCCCGGGCUCAACCUGGGAAUGGCAUUUGGGACUGCAAGGCUGGAGUACGGCAGAGGAGACUGGAAUUCCUGGUGUAGCAGUGAAAUGCGUAGAUAUCAGGAGGAAUACCGAUGGCGAAGGCAGGUCUCUGGGCUGAUACUGAC